UGUUUUAUCCGGAACUGUCAGUUUCAACCAUAGGAGCUGUCAAAGGAACUCCAGUGAGUUUGAAUGGUUCUGGAGCUGUGGCUUCAUCAGUUCCCAGUUGAUCAGCUUUCUUCCGAAGCUGCUUGAAGAAGGUUACAUCAAGAAUCCCCAGCAGCAGCAAGGUUUCCUCCGGAAGCUUCAAGAUUGUAGUGAUCAAUGAGGACAAG